UUCUCUCUCUUACUUUACUCUUUUCUCCUUUCUUCUCUACCAAACCCUAAACUUUACUCUUUUCUCCUUUCUUCUCUACCAAACCCUACGAAAGAAGGUUUUCUCUCAACAUUUCUUCCCUUUCUUCCUUUCUCAAUCUCAUCACUUUUUAAUCUCCCCUUGGCUUCCAGUCAAAACCUUCAUAUUCCCCACCUUCACCAUCGCCGCCGUGAAAUCCGCCUUCCAGAGGCUCCGACUACUCCGAUACUGUCUCACCGUCGCUGCCGUCAAUGGCUCCGACUACUCCGAUACUGUCUCAUCGUCAAUGGGUCAUCUUCCAUCUCCAUCACCGUCGCUGCCGAUACUGUCUCGCCGAUACUGUCUCACCGUCUCAUAAAACUGGACAUCAAGCACUAGUGUACGAGAGUUUAAAAGCUACAGAGUUUGAUGACGGGGGGAUUCUCUGCCAACAGAAAAACUCUCCAACGAAGAAGAUAAGACUUUAUUCCAAAACUCGUAGCUUCUUCAUUCACUCUCUCUCACACGCUCCAAUACAUCUUCUGCGUGCCUUACACGCUCCUUCCAAUACAAUUUUCAGUACAAUCACCAACCAAAUUGAUUCCAAAAACCAAAAAAUGUCGGCUUAAUUUUCUGGUUUCAGCUCAGCCCCCCUUCCCCGGCCCCCUUCUUCUCUUCUUUCUUCUCUCUCAGCUUUCAAUCAGGUAUUUUGCUCUAAUUCAAGUUUUCAAUAUAGAAAGCUGUGUGAAACAUGUACAAUGGGGGCUAUACUGCUGAAGUUACAAGUUUGUCACCUAAAGCCACAGAGAAUGAUGUUUAUGACUUUUUCUCUCAUUGUGGCACGGUCGAGCAUGUAGAAAUCCUCAGUUUUAUCAACUUCAACGAGAUCUUACAUAGGAACUUACUGGAGCUUCAAUAAUCAAUUAAUAAACUUGGAAAAUAUGAAUUUCAUAUUUGUUAUUGCUGUUGCUGUUGUGUCACACCGUGAUUUUUGCUAAGAUGGAUGGAAGUAGAAGUUUAAAGUUCACCUUCUGUUCAAGAUUCUCAACCUCGG